rnacentral:rRNA from 1 species
UGCGGGGGGGGCGAGCGUUGUUCGGAAUCACUGGGCGUAAAGGGCGCGUAGGCGGCCCGCACAAGUCUGCGGUGAAAACCCCCGGCUUAACCGGGGGCCGGCCGUGGAAACUGUCGGGCUGGAGGCUGGGAGAGGGCAGCGGAAUUCCCGGUGUAGCGGUGAAAUGCGUAGAUAUCUGGAGGAACACCGGUGGCGAAGGCGGCAUCCUGGACCAACACUGACGCUGAGGAGCGAAAGCCAGGGGAGCAAACGGG